UACGGAGGGUGCAAGCGUUAUCCGGAUUCACUGGGUUUAAAGGGUGCGUAGGUGGGUUUGUAAGUCAGUGGUGAAAUCUCCGGGCUCAACCCGGAAACUGCCAUUGAUACUACAAGUCUUGAAUUUUCCGGAGGUAAGCGGAAUAUGUCAUGUAGCGGUGAAAUGCUUAGAUAUGACAUAGAACACCAAUUGCGAAGGCAGCUGGCUACAGGUACAUUGACGCUGAGACGCGAAAGCGUGGGGAUCAAACAGG
rnacentral:rRNA from 1 species